CUACCACAUCCAAGGAAGGCAGCAGGCGCGCAAAUUACCCACUCCCGGCACGGGGAGGUAGUGACGAAAAAUAACAAUACGGGACUCUUUUGAGACCCCGUAAUUGGAAUGAGUACACUCUAAACCCUUUAACGAGGACCAUCGGAGGGCAAGCCUGGUGCCAGCAGCUGCGGUAAUUCCAGCUCCGAUAGCGUAUAUUAAAGUUGUUGCGGUUAAAAAGCUCGUAGUUGGAUCUCAGUUCCAGGCGCGCGGUCCGCCGUCCCGGUGGUCACCGCGCGGUCUGAACAGCCCGCCGGUUUCCCCCGAUGAUCUUCACCGGUUGUCUCGGGUGACCGGCAAGUUUACUUUGAAAAAAUCAGAGUGCUCAGAGCAGGCGCGACGCCUGGAUGAUGGUGCAUGGAAUAAUGGAAUAGGACCUCGGUUCUGUCUUGUUGGUUCUCGGAACACGAGGUAAUGAUUAAGAGGGACAGACGGGGGCAUUCGUAUUGCGACGCUAGAGGUGAAAUUCUUGGACCGUCGCAAGACGAACUACUGCGAAAGCAUUUGCCAAGAAUGUUUCCGUUAAUCAAGAACGAAAGUUAGAGGUUCGAAGGCGAUCAGAUACCGCCCUAGUUCUAACCAUAAACGAUGCCAGCCAGCGAUCCGGCUGCGUUCCUCAAAUGACGCGCCGGGCAGCUUCCGGGAAACCAAAGCUUUUGGGUUCCGGGGGAAGUAUGGUU
rnacentral:rRNA from 1 species